CCCGUUCCAAAGUUCUAGGGUCCCUAGCCCCUCACCAAAAAGUCAGAGAAAGCACCCUCGGAACACCCUCGGAAAUCAGAGCCAGACCUCCUCCAAAUCCUUCUGGAUCUGCUCCCCCAGAUCCCACACCGGAACAGUGCCAAGAUCGGUUCCCCCAACAUGUAUUAAAAUUACAUCAGGAACACUGAGCAGGCCGGCUAAACUGACCACUUCGGGCAGCAGCUGCUCCCACCGGGUACCGAACCAACGGACUUCUGCCACCACUGGCGACAGGCCCAAUUGUAAUCCCCCGGGGUAAACUUGAGCCCAC